rnacentral:tRNA from 1 species
GCCGUUGUAGCUCAGUUGGUAGAGCAAUUGAUUCGUAAUCAAUAGGUCGCGUGUUCGAUUCACGCCAACGGCACCA